GAUGAAGAACGUAACGAAAUGCGAUAAGUAAUGUGAAUUGCAGAAUUCAGUGAAUCAUCGAAUCUUUGAACGCACAUUGCGCCCGCCAGUAUUCUGGCGGGCAUGCCUGUUCGAGCGUCAUUUCAACCAUCAAGCCCCAGGCUUGUGUUGGGGACCUGCGGCUGCCGCAGGCCCUGAAAACCAGUGGCGGGCUCGCUGUCACACCGGGCGUAGUAGAUUUUAUCUCGCUCUGGGCGUGCUGCGGGUUCCGGCCGUUAAAAAACCCUUUUAACCCAAGGUUGACCUCGGAUCAGGUAGGAAUACCCGCUGAACUUAAGCAUAUCAAUAAGCGGAGGA
rnacentral:misc_RNA from 1 species